GAACCGUACAAACGUUAUUCGGAAUUACUGGGCUUAAAGGGUGCGUAGGCGGCUUGGCAAGUUGGGUGUGAAAUCCCUCGGCUCAACCGAGGAACGGCGCCCAAACUGCCAGACUUGAGGGAGACAGAGGUGAGUGGAACUUAGGGUGGAGCGGUGAAAUGCGUUGAUAUCCUAAGGAACACCAGUGGCGAAAGCGACUCACUGGGUCUCUUCUGACGCUGAGGCACGAAAGCUAGGGUAGCGAACGGGAUUAGAUACCCCGGGUAGUCCUAGCUGUAAACGAUGAGCACUGGGUCGGAGAGCCCUCCCAUAGCUUUCCGGCCGAAGCGAAAGUGUUAAGUGCUCCGCCUGGGGAGUAUGGUCGCAAGGCUG
rnacentral:rRNA from 1 species